rnacentral:tRNA from 1 species
GAGCUAUUUUCGGCUGUUCGUGGUAAAGGCGCUAAACUAAACGAUUUCCGUAUCCGUGUUAAGUCUUCUAAUGAUCU